rnacentral:rRNA from 1 species
UCGAGAAUUUUUCUCAAUGGGCGAAAGCCUGAAGGAGCGACGCCGCGUGGGGGAUGAAUGGCUUCGGCCCGUAAACCCCUGUCAUUUGCGAACAAACCUUUUCACUUAACACGUGAAAAGCUGAUUGUAGCGAAAGAGGAAGGGACGGCUAACUCUGUGCCAGCAGCCGCGGUAAUACAGAGGUCCCAAGCGUUGUUCGGAUUCACUGGGCGUAAAGGGUGCGUAGGUGGCCGGGUAAGUCUGAUGUGAAAGCUCGGAGCUUAACUCCGAAAUGGCAUUGGAUACUAUCCGGCUAGAGGGUCGGAGGGGGGACUGGAAUUCUCGGUGUAGCAGUGAAAUGCGUAGAUAUCGAGAGGAACACCAGUGGCGAAGGCGAGUCCCUGGACGACUCCUGACACUGAGGCACGAAAGCUAGGGGAGCAAACAGGAUUAGAUACCCCCGUAGUCC